GCAAGUGGUGGCGGGACGAUAAAUACGAAGCAGACUAUUUAUUUAUUAAAACUUAUUGUUUUAUUUUAUGUGUAUGCGUGUUUUUGUCUCUCUCUGUGUGUGUGUAUGUGCUGUAUUAUGUGCUUGGUGCUUGCAGAGAUCAGAAGAGGAUUCGUGGACACUCUGGAAUGAUUGUGAGUGCGAGCCGGUCGUGGCGCGUGCCUUUAAUCUCAGCACUCAGGAGGCAGAGUCAAGUGUUUCUCUAUGAGUUCCAUCCAGGACAGCCAAGGCCACACAGAGAAACCCCAUCUCAAAAAAACAAAACAAAGCGAAGGGAAACAAGUAUGAUCCGCAGCUGCCUUGUGGGUGCUGGGACCCCACCUCUCUGCUCUUAACUUCCGAGCCCUGCCCUACUCGGUGCCAUAUGGCGGAGGCCAUUUUGGUCCAUGUAGCCAGCCGGUGCUUCAGAGAGAGAUUCUGUCUCAAAAGAAAAAACAAAA
rnacentral:lncRNA from 1 species